UGGGGAAUAUUGGACAAUGGGCGCAAGCCUGAUCCAGCCAUGCCGCGUGAGUGAUGAAGGCCCUAGGGUUGUAAAGCUCUUUCACCGGUGAAGAUAAUGACGGUAACCGGAGAAGAAGCCCCGGCUAACUUCGUGCCAGCAGCCGCGGUAAUACGAAGGGGGCUAGCGUUGUUCGGAUUUACUGGGCGUAAAGCGCACGUAGGCGGACUAUUAAGUCAGGGGUGAAAUCCCGGGGCUCAACCACGGAAAUGCCUUUGAUACUGGUAGUCAUGAGUGCGAGAGAGGUGAGUGGAAUUCCGGGUGUAGAGGUGAAAUUCGUAGAUAUUCGGAGGAACACCAGUGGCGAAGGCGGAUCACUGGAUCGAUAAUGAAGCUGAGGUGCGAAAGCGUGGGGAGCAAACAGG
rnacentral:rRNA from 1 species